rnacentral:rRNA from 1 species
UACAGAGGGUGCGAGCGUUAAUCGGAAUUACUGGGCGUAAAGCGUGCGUAGACGGCUAUCUGAGUCGGGUGUGAAAGCCCCGGGCUCAACCUGGGAAUUGCAUUCGAGACUGAAUAGCUAGGGUACGGUAGAGGGAAGCGGAAUUUCCGGUGUAGCGGUGAAAUGCGUAGAUAUCGGAAGGAACAUCAGUGGCGAAAGCGGCUUCCUGGACCAGUACCGACGUUCAGGCACGAAAGCGUGGGGAGCAAACAGG